GAUGAACGCUGGCGGCGUGCUUAACACAUGCAAGUCGAACGGUGAAGCCAAGCUUGCUUGGUGGAUCAGUGGCGAACGGGUGAGUAACACGUGAGCAACCUGCCCUGGACUCUGGGAUAAGCGCUGGAAACGGCGUCUAAUACUGGAUAUGAGCUCUCAUCGCAUGGUGGGGGUUGGAAAGAUUUUUCGGUCUGGGAUGGGCUCGCGGCCUAUCAGCUUGUUGGUGAGGUAAUGGCUCACCAAGGCGUCGACGGGUAGCCGGCCUGAGAGGGUGACCGGCCACACUGGGACUGAGACACGGCCCAGACUCCUACGGGAGGCAGCAGUGGGGAAUAUUGCACAAUGGGCGGAAGCCUGAUGCAGCAACGCCGCGUGAGGGAUGACGGCCUUCGGGUUGUAAACCUCUUUUAGCAGGGAAGAAGCGAGAGUGACGGUACCUGCAGAAAAAGCGCCGGCUAAAUACGUGCCAGCAGCCGCGGUAAUACGUAGGGCGCAAGCGUUAUCCGGAAUUAUUGGGCGUAAAGAGCUCGUAGGCGGUUUGUCGCGUCUGCUGUGAAAUCCCGAGGCUCAACCUCGGGCCUGCAGUGGGUACGGGCAGACUAGAGUGCGGUAGGGGAGAUUGGAAUUCCUGGUGUAGCGGUGGAAUGCGCAGAUAUCAGGAGGAACACCGAUGGCGAAGGCAGAUCUCUGGGCCGUAACUGACGCUGAGGAGCGAAAGGGUGGGGAGCAAACAGGCUUAGAUACCCUGGUAGUCCACCCCGUAAACGUUGGGAACUAGUUGUGGGGACCAUUCCACGGUUUCCGUGACGCAGCUAACGCAUUAAGUUCCCCGCCUGGGGAGUACGGCCGCAAGGCUAAAACUCAAAGGAAUUGACGGGGACCCGCACAAGCGGCGGAGCAUGCGGAUUAAUUUCGAUGCAACGCGAAGAACCUUACCAAGGCUUGACAUACACCAGAACACCGUAGAAAUACGGGACUCUUUGGACACUGGUGAACAGGUGGUGCAUGGUUGUCGUCAGCUCGUGUCGUGAGAUGUUGGGUUAAGUCCCGCAACGAGCGCAACCCUCGUUCUAUGUUGCCAGCACGUAAUGGUGGGAACUCAUGGGAUACUGCCGGGGUCAACUCGGAGGAAGGUGGGGAUGACGUCAAAUCAUCAUGCCCCUUAUGUCUUGGGCUUCACGCAUGCUACAAUGGCCGGUACAAAGGGCUGCAAUACCGUGAGGUGGAGCGAAUCCCAAAAAGCCGGUCCCAGUUCGGAUUGAGGUCUGCAACUCGACCUCAUGAAGUCGGAGUCGCUAGUAAUCGCAGAUCAGCAACGCUGCGGUGAAUACGUUCCCGGGUCUUGUACACACCGCCCGUCAAGUCAUGAAAGUCGGUAACACCUGAAGCCGGUGGCCCAACCCUUGUGGAGGGAGCCGUCGAAGGUGGGAUCGGUAAUUAGG
rnacentral:rRNA from 1 species